rnacentral:rRNA from 1 species
AUUGAACGCUGGCGGCAGGCUUAACACAUGCAAGUCGAACGAGUGGCGGACGGGUGAGUAAUGCUUGGGAAUCUAGCUUAUGGAGGGGGAUAACUACGGGAAACUGUAGCUAAUACCGCGUACCAUAGGAUGAGCCCACGUGGGAUUAGGUAGUUGGUGGGUUAUAGGCUCACCAAGCCGCCGAUCUCUAGCUGGGCUGAGAGGAUGACCAGCCACACUGGAAGUGCGACACGGCCCAGACGCCUACGGGAGGCAGCAGUGGGGAAUAUUGCGCGAUGGGGGCAACCUGACGCAGCCAUGCCGCGUGUAUGAAGAAGGCCUUCGGGUUGUAAAGUACUUUCAGUCGGGAGGCGUUACCGACAGAAGAAGCACCGGCUAACUCCGUGCCAGCAGCCGCGGUAAUAC